rnacentral:lncRNA from 1 species
UAGAUCUUUAUAUAUUUAUUCACGAGACACACAGAGAGAGAGGCAGAGACCCAGGCUGAGGCAGAAGCAGCUCCCUGCAGGAACCUGGUGAGGGACUCGAUCCCGGGACCCCGGGGUCACGCCCUGGGCCGCCUCGGUGUCCUGUCAUUUGCUUCGUCUGCUACCCGUGCUGCAGCCACGCCGUGAGGGGAGGUGGUGGUCGGCUCCUUGUCAGGGACACUCAGUGAGGGCCGGGCUACAAGUGGGUCACCGAAGGGCCCGGCGCGAGGAUGUGUGACCCCUCCUCCGGGGACCGGGCCACCUCCACCCCGUGUGCGCCGCCAGGGCUGCUGCCCCGCUGAGCUGAUUCCUGCCAGGCCCCCGAGGCCGCGUGGGGGACAAGGACCCUGAACUCACCGUGGGGCCGGCCUGCUGGCACCCUCCUGGCUGGGUGCCCUUGAACUGCGCCCAGGUCCCCCGCCACUAGGCCUGUGCACCGGCAUGACUUGACUUCAGCUCAGGUGUGCAAGUAUUUCCUCAGAUCCUGCCCCCUGCCCCCAGCGGAUCUUCUCCAAGCUGGAGAAAAGGACAUUGAGGCAGCCUCUGGAGAGCGACGGAGCUGCCUGUGGAGAGGAUUUCAGGAGAUUUUCUGGAAAGCCCUGCUCUGGAGGCUCUACGUGUUGCUGCUGGUGCUGCUGGUGCUGCUGGAGCCGGUGCUGGUGCUGGUGCUGGUGCUGUUGGACCUGGUGCUGCUGCUGGUGCUGGUGCUGGUGGUGCUGGUGCUGGUGCUGCUGCUGGUGCUAGUGCUGGUGCUGGUGCUGGUGCUGGUUGCUGCUGGACCUGGUGCUGGUGCUGCUGGUGCUAGUGCUGGUGCUGGUGCUGGUGCUGCUGGAGCUGGUGCUGCUGCUGUUGGAGCUGGUGCUGGUGCUGGUGCUGCUGGAGCUGUUGCUGGUGCUGCUGGUGCUAGUGCUGGUGCUGGUGCUGGUGCUGCUGGAGCUGGUGCUGGUGCUGGUGCUGGUACUGCUGGUGCCGGUGGUGCCGCUGGUGCCGGUGCUGGUGCCGGGGGUCGUGAUGACGACGAGGAUGUUGACGAUGACGAUGAGGCCGGCGAGCACAUGGACAGCUAACACUGGCGCGCCAGGCCCCUGGCUGGGCGUUUGACGCCCAUCCUCACGCAGCGGAAAUCUCCCUCAUUUCAUAGACAGAGUAAAACAGGCUCUUCGCCCAUCCGGCCACUGAGUCUUUGUCUUCUAUCGACUCCCCUACUUCCUGGCAGUUUGUACAUCAGUGCAUUGCGGCCUCUUUCCCCGUACCCCCAAACUGACUAAACACAUUUAGUGCUUUGCAGAGAGGUGCUUUGGGUAACGGGCCACCUGGCUGAC